CCUUAAUGCUGGCCAGUGCCAAGUCGGCCCACAGGAGCCGAGAUCACAGGGAAGGCCCCAGAGGGAGACAGGCCGCGGGGGGGGGGGCGGCCCACACCGGGAGCCAUACCUGGGGUAAGAAUAGCACCUGGGUCAUGGAGAUGCCGGCCACCAUCCACGCUGCAGCAGCUCUGAGGGAAGCCAGAAAGUCUCAAUCUCCCUCCCUCAAGCUGGUAAACCUACAGGCCCAGACAAACAGGAGCAGGAGAAAAGGAAGCUGUUUGCUGGCCCGAAUACCAAGUGGCACUGAG